rnacentral:rRNA from 1 species
GUCUACAGCCAUGCCACCCUGAACAUGCCCAAUCCCGUCUGAUCUCGGAAGCUUAGCGGGGUUGGGCCUGGUUAGUACAUGAAUGGGAGACCCUAGGAAGACCAGGUCCUGCUGUAGGCA